CGCUGAGUUUGAUCCUGGCUCAGGAUGAACGCUAGCGGCAGGCUUAACACAUGCAAGUCGAGGGGUAUAGUUCUUCGGAGCUAGAGACCGGCGCACGGGUGCGUAACGCGUAUGCAAUCUACCUUUACAGGGGAAUAGCCCAGAGAAAUUUGGAUUAAUACCUCAUAGUAUGUGAGAAUCGCAUGGUUUUCACAUUAAAGUUCCAACGGUAAAAGAUGAGCAUGCGUCCCAUUAGCUAGAUGGUAAGUAACGGCUUACCAUGACAACGAUGGGUAGGGGUCCUGAGAGGAGACUCCCCCGACACUGGUACUGAGACACGGACCAGACU
rnacentral:rRNA from 1 species